rnacentral:lncRNA from 1 species
UCGCAAAAGAAAAAUAACAUGUAAACAAAUAGUAGUAAUAGUAAUAAUAACGUGUAAGAAGCCCCUCUUAAGGUGUACGGACGUAUGUUUUUUUUCUUUCCCAGGCACUCUUCCCUAUGUCCUAAAAGAAGCUAAGGUUUUUUAAAAAACCAGAUCUCAGCUACUUUCUAUUACCAAAAACAGAAAGUUUCCCACCAUUUCUCAAAUAGACGGCAUCUCCCUCCGGCCAAAUCCCCGGCGAUGACUGCCCUUACCGACCAAUGGUGUUGACGGCCCCUUAGAAGUCAUGUCACAAGGUGUGGGACAACAGAGGACUUCGAGCUUUCACCAACUUCUCCUCCAAACCCUCCUUUCUCCCCUUGGCUUCAUAGUGCUUUAAGAGCUCAACUACCAGAUCCCUUGAUUGUUUGAGGUACAAAAAGUCUUGAGCAUUUACUCUUGCAUUUAUGUCUAACCUUGUGGUUCUAUCUCUUGAACUUUCUCACUAUAUGUGAAGAACCUUUUCAAACUUAUGUCAUGCUCAGUUUCUCAACAACCAUGAUGACAAACUCUCUCACCUAGUGUGAAGAACCUUUUCAAAUUGUAUCGACAAGACUCUGCCCUAGACGCCUUCGUUAGAAUAACCAUUGGAUUACGUGUGAUCUUGCUGAGUUCCCAGGACCUAAGUAUAGACCAAAGAAUCCCUUACUCUGCAAAAGGAAAAGACAUAGCUCACAGUCAAAAAUCUUACUCAAAUUAUGCCAGUCAAAACCGCUCAAGGGACUCUGGGGAAAGAGCUAUGUCAGUUUAUGAAAAUGAUAGGAGGUCAGAAAGAAGCUUCUCACCUCCACCUAAGAAGCGAAUAAGAGCACCCACCCUAGACAACUCGGAGCUGAUCCAAGAGAACUCGCUUACCCUUAUGGGAAUACUCACAAAU